ensembl:lncRNA
GCUGCCCCUUGCAGGGUGCUGGAGAAAGGCCAGACCUCUGGGAGGCAGUCCUGGGAGAGGUUUGCCCCCGCUGGCUCAGGGUUUGGCUCCUAUUUCCUCCUGUCAGAGAAAUGCGCCGCGCAUCCGAAGCCGUGUGUUCCGCGAUUGCAUUCCAGCUGCUCGGGCUGCUCAGCAAAGACACGCCAUGCCGGGAUUUGGCCGCCCUGGCGUUCCUUGUGGAGGUGAGCCUGAAGGCCAGCGCUGCCUCGCUGAGCUGCCUCCCGGCUCUCUGCCCUCUCUUGGCCGCAGUGCCUGGGACGGAGCCCGCGCCCUGUGCUGCUGCCUGGGCCCGGCCCUGUGCGGUUCUGGGCUCCCGCCGGCCGCUCCCCCGUCACUGCCCUGUGCCUUUCAGGUCCUGGAGCGCCUGAACCUGAGUGAACGCCGUGACAGCGUCCUGGAGUUCUUGUCAAAGAACCUGCAGAGCGAGUGCAGGGGGAGGCGUCGCUUGGCACUCAGAGGCCUCGUGGUGCUCGGCACCACCAGUGCCUCGGUGAGAAGAGCGCAGGGGCUGAAGCCGUGCUGCCAGCGUGGGGCUGGGGAAGGCAGUCCCUGGGGCUCGGCUGGCCUUGGGGCACUGAGGCAGCUGCUGCCAGCUCUCCUGCCUCCUGCUGCAGCUGCCCCAGUGCUUUGGCACAGGCCUUUGGCCCCUGGGCCCUGUGGCAGCAGGAUGGUGUUUCACACACUUGUGUUCCACAAGUAGAUGGCCAUAAGGAUGUGGAGCCUGCAUGAAAGGCUCGUGGAGCUCCUGCCGGAAAAUGACAGCGUCAUGCUCAGGAUGACCACAGGUCUCCUCAGAGCUGUAUUUCUCUGCAAUGGUGCCCCAAUAACCAGCACCCUCGCCCUGCAGCUGGCUGAGGCGCUCCUGCCACUCUUUGACAACGUAAGGCUCUGCGCCUCCAGCCACGGCCAGCGGGUGCUACCCGCACACUUUGUGCCCUGUGCACUUACAGGCUGUGCCCAGGUGGGCCUGAAGCAGCUGACGCUGAGGUCUUUCUUCCUUCCUUUCAUACAGGAGGAUAGCCAGGUGCAGUUGAGCUCCAUGUUUAUCUUCCGAGACAUGCUGGAUCAUUUUCCGGAAGAGGAAAAAAAGGCCCUGAAGGCACACGUGCGCCAGAGCCUGCUGCCACUCUCCUUCCACUGCCAUGAUGAGAACCAGCGAGUGGCAGAGGCUUCUCAGGAAACGCUGCUUUGUGCGGCCGAGUUCCUGAAGCAGAGGGAUCUCGAAAAGCUGCUGAAGAACCAGAAGCCGUGGAAGUUCACCGAGUGCCUGGUAAGGAGGGCCGGGAAGCCGCAGCCCCAGCCUGGAGAAGCCCCCUGAGCGCGGUGCUCGGUGUGCGGGCUGGCAGCUGUGCCCCUGCCCGCUGCUGCAGCCCGAGGCCGCGCGGGCUCUGCUCCAGGCUCCUGCGGCCCGAGCCGGGUGCCCAUGGAGCCCCGGCCCGGCGGGGCUGCGGGGCCAACCCUUCCCUCCUGCCGCUCUCUGCAGCUGGCAGAGGACAGCAGCAGCGUGGCCGAGCACCUGCGCCGGGCCCUGCCCUACCUGCAGAGCCCACAGGAGCCCCUGCGAGAGGCGGCCGUCAGGUUCAUGGGUGAGCCACGAGCCGGGCCAGGAGGCCGUGUGGGCACAGGGCUGGCAGCGCCGCUGGCAGGGAGCUGUGCCGCCGGGCCUGACAGGCUCUGUGUUCCCAGGGACGGCCGGGCGGUACCUGAGGGGGAGGAAGGAAGAGCUCCAGCUCAUCUCUGAGGGUGAGUGAGGGCAGCGGGCUGCCAGCGGGGGCUGGCGGGGAGCUGCGAGCCCUGCC